GCGAUAUGAUGCAGUUCAACAUGGGAUACUGAAGCAAGAAUUGAGCAAGUAAUGAGGGAGUGUGAAGAAGAUCUGAAGCAGUGAAGGCCAGCUGUUAUUAACCACCUCUACUGGACUGCAGCUUCCGCUCCUAAUGGAGAUGCAGAUGUGAUGGAGGCCAUGUGGAAAAGCAUGGUCAGCAGUGAAUGUGAUCUAAACUUUUGCUUGUGUGGUGGGGAAGCCCAUUACUUUCCCUAAUAAUUAUGUGGGUCGUAAGCCAAUUGGCUGUCAUUAUGGGGAUAUAAAGGGCGGUAGACCUGUGCUUGAGGUCAGCGUCAUUGUCAACGUCACUAACGCGUCGCGAACGCUGUACUGUGGCUGCUUCCGGCAUCAGGUGUGGACAUUGGAGAGAGUAAGCUCCGAUUGCAUGAUUGCCUUUCCCUCGCGUAUCGUUCGAAUCAGCUGUUCUGUUUCUCGUGCGGGUCUCGCACUGCUGCUGUGGCUGCCGUUGUUGUGUGUGACUAUGCAUACAUCAGAUGCGUCAUCGGUGCUCCCCUUGAAAUAUUGAAAGUGUUGACUGCUAGUCCGGGCGCGUUUCACGUCCUGCCCACGGAUAACACUGCUGUUUUGUUUUGUGUUGAUUUUUUUUCUAGUUUGUUUUGUUUGUCUUUAUUUAUAUUUGGUUAAAAGUGAUAUUCUCUGCUCUUCUUUGUCUUCGUAUUUUCUAUUAGUUUUCUGUGUAUUUAUUUUUAGUUGAUUCCUAUUUUCCAAAGAACCUUAUCCUCGUUCUUGGGUUUAUUUUGCAGCUCAUCAUUUUGUUGGCUGUUUGAUUAAUUGUAUAUUUUGUUAAAUGUGAUCUUUUUCUCCUUUUGUAUUUUUCUAGUUUGUAUUUUUGUUUUGCUGUUUUCUUUUUUUUUUGUAAACUGUUAAAAACCAACUGUUUCUAUUGUGCAUCCUCUUGAUUUUUUUUUUAACUUAUUCGUUGUUAUGUGAGGGCAAAUAGGCCUUGUCCAUUUCUUUUGCAGUUUGGUUAAUUCUUAUUGUUUGUGUUUUGUCAAUUAGUUUAAAUUAACAUGAGGGCAGUUCAGUGUCAUGUUUAAUAAUUUUGUGUGUAUCUUAGUGAUUCUUUAUUGAGAUUGCUCUGUUUUUGUGUCACAGGAUCUGGGUGCCAAAGACAGGGAGGCCGAGUCUCUGAGAGAGGAAUACUGCAGGUCACCACAGGCUCUACGAGAACUCAGCACUUUCUUGUCCUCCACUACACCUGCUCCUCUUUCCAGAUCCCUCUUGAGGAUCAACAAGAUGAGGCUGUUGUGUAUCUAGCACAGCAUUCAUGAUUUAACACACGUUAACAACACAUUAGUUAUAUAUAUUAACAGUUGUAAUGUUGUGUUUUGAGUUAGGUAUUAACAGUGCUAGGAAAUAAUAUUUGUUGAUUUAGUGCUGUAUAAAUAAAACUGAAUUGAGUUAACCA
ensembl:lncRNA